UAAAAAAAUAAUAAUAAUAAAAAUGGACGUUAUUAGACCGUCAUAAUUUGCCAAAAAGAAUAUCAUACUCUAAAAUAAAAUGAAAUAAAUACAUACAUGGAAUGGAGAUUGGACCAGCCCACGUAACCAACGCUCCCCGCGCAUGACACGUAAGACAAGUAAUAUUCUUCCUCUCUUCUAUAAGCAUUAUCCGGAAACAGUAAUAAAGAUCACACUAAUUCCAUUUAACCAAGGAAAUCGAAGGAAUCGCACAGAGGAAAGGCGAGGGAAAAAGGACGUCGUUGUAUUGUCGAUGGAAGACCUUCGACGACUACGACGAUGAAGAUAAACCAGAGAAACCUUGCCGAUAUGGAGUCACCAAGAUGCGAUGUCCCCAGUAUAAGCUCUGGAGCCAGAACAUGCUCCAGCCUUCAGGUAUGUUAUUUAUCAUUUUAUCGUAUUGCUAAUUAAUUCCAACUGAUGUACUAAUCUGUUGAAAUGCUAUGUGUUUUCGUGCAAUUUGUAAUGUUAUAACAAUUUGCUUUUCUAGUGCCAUUGCAACUGUAGUAAGUUCAAAUUCUGUGAUGUUUGAAUGGGUAGUUAAAAUUUGUGCAUUUUAAAAGCAUCCCAACUAGAAUUUUAGUAAUAGUGUCAAUGAUGAGGAAAAUGAGGAAAAAUUGUGUUUAGGAACUUGAAAAGUGGAAGCUGGGCAUCUGGAGAAGUUCUACCAGCCGAUGAUGACUUUAUCAUCGUUACCCACAACGAAUUUUAAAUAUGUUCAGUAGCUAAAUGGAGAGUAUUGAUGAAUCUCAUAUUUCCAUGCACAAAUUUAUACGAAUCUGAAUUUUUCUUUGUAUAAUCAUGAGUCUAGCUGGAUUUGCACUUGAAGUAUGUAAUAAUACUCCUCCAUCCUGGAUUGGCAUUUUGAUGCAGAUAAUAAAAACUUCAUCAAUUUGUUUGCUAUAAUUUGGUCAGAGAGCAGUUUUAUGUAGCCAUGGAUAUUUUAGGGUCCAUGGGGCAGUUUGUUGACGGCUGAAGUUCUCUGGAGGUUCCCACAGUCUUAUGCCAAGGUCUUUUAUCAAAGAGGUGAUUUACAUGCUCCACCAACAUGAUGUAUGUGUCAAUAACAUAUGACUGGGCUGAACACUUGCUUCAUAAAGGUCCAUCAGCUUUCAAAGAAUAUGUUGAGGCAUGGGAAUCAAGCUCAAUGUAGGGUCGCUCGGAGUUCAAGAAGAGUCCCUUUUGAGAUACGUGUCCCUUUUGAGAUACGUGCACUUGAUUAAGAGUGGCGGCUUGAAAGCGAAGCCUAAAUUUGCAGCCAUAAUAAGUCUGAUAUUU
rnacentral:misc_RNA from 1 species